UUGCAAGACCAAACUCAAUCGUAGAUUGCACGUUGGACUGGGGAAGCUGCUGUCAUUUUCUUCAGCACAAGAGGCUUUUCCACGGCCUGGUUCAACUGACUCUGUACGCGAUUGGCUGCUUGUCGUUGCUGCCCUGUCGUCAUUGUGUUAAACCAGCCAAUAGCGCGCCAGGAGGAAAAGCCAGCUUGGUGACUGGCUCCUGCAAAAAUGUUUUGAAAAGAAAGAAAUGUAUUACUCUUCUCCAGACCCUUCUGCAGGGCCAACUCAAAUUGCCGGCAGAAUGGCCAGGGCUACCCAGUCUAGGCGAGUGUAGGACUCUGAGAGACGGUCUCUCUACAGGUGAGGACUCUGAGUCACAGUCUCUCUACAGGUGAGGACUCUGAGUCACAAUCUCUCUACAGGUGAGUGUAGGACUCAGUCAUGGUCUCUCUACAGUGAGGACUCUGAGUCAGAGUCUCUCCACAGUGUAGGACUCUGAGAGACGGUCUCUCUACAGGUGAGGACUUUGAGUCACGGCCUCUCUACAGGUGGGUGUAGGACUCUGAGAGACGGUCUCUCUACAGGUGAGGACUUUGAGUCACGGCCUCUCUACAGGUGAGGACUGAGGCACCGUCUCUCUACAGGCGAGUGUAGGACUGAGUCAUGGUCUCUCUACAGCGAGUGUAGGACUGAGUCAUAUGGUCUCUCUCCAGGUGAGGACUCUGAGUCACGGUCUCUCUACAGUGAGUGUAGGACUGAGUCAUGGUCUCUCUACAGAUGAGGACUCUGGGUCACGGUAUCUCCACAGGUGAGGACUCUCAGGGGGAGUGCGAUGGAAACUUGUUAUGCGUAAUGCUUGUUUACUGUGGGAAAUGAUUCAAGAGGGAGGACCAGGAGAGUGAUGACGGAGGGACAUGGGGUCGGGACCCGGGCCGGGUCGCUUCCCCGUCAUUUAAACAAUAAAAAGUUAUCAGGCGCUUUGAAGCUUUUACGGCGGCCUGACUAAUUAAGGCCUCUUCGUUAAUGUUUGGAACCUUUUUAAGGUACCCAUCACAUCCCCCCGUUCUCUCCCCUUCAUCUCAUUCGUUUAAACAUGAGUCUUUCUCGGUAUGGGCGUCCUCGCUCACCUCUGUCCUCUAUGUUAAUGGCUUGUCAAAUAGAAAGCACAUGAGGAUCUCUUUAAAAUCCAUGUUCACAUCCCACACACACACACACACACACAUGCACACAGACAUCUGUGGCGCAGUGGUAAUUAUCAGGAACGAGAGGGCGGGAUGGAGAGAGAGAGAGAGAGCAAGAGAAUGGAAUGAGGCGCUCCUCAGAUCUCCUUCCAAGUGCCUGGG
ensembl:lncRNA